rnacentral:rRNA from 1 species
GACGAACGCUGGCGGCGUGCUUAACACAUGCAAGUCGAGCGAGCGGCGGACGGGUGAGUAAUGUCUGGGAAACUGCCUGAUGGAGGGGGAUAACUACUGGAAACGGUAGCUAAUACCGCAUACCAUCAGAUGAGCCCAGAGGGGAUUAGCUAGUAGGUGGGGUAACGGCUCACCUAGGCGACGAUCCCUAGCUGGUCUGAGAGGAUGACCAGCCACCCUGGAACUGGGACACGGUACAGGAGCCUACGGGAGGCAGCCGUGGGGACUAUUGCACAAUGGGCGGAAGCCUGGUGCAGCCAUUCCGCGUGUGUGAAGGAGGCCUUCGGGUUGUAAAGCACUUUCAGCGGGGAGGCGUUACCCGCAGAAGAAGCACCGGCUAACUCCGUGCCAGCAGCCGCGGUAAUAC